rnacentral:rRNA from 1 species
CAGUGAGGAAUAUUGGUCAAUAGCCUAACGGCUGAACCAGCAACUUGAAGGAAUGUAUAGCGAAAGCUAGUUGCAUUUCAUUAUAAAUAAUGAGUGCAAUAUUGACUCGAUCAAAUAAAGUUCUGGGUGGAAUUUGAUGAUGACAUUUUCUAUCCAUGUGUCUUGACCAAAUUACGUGCCAGCAGUCGCGGUAAUACGUAAAAGACUAGUGUUAUUCAUCUUUAAUUGGUUUAAAGGGUACCUAGACGGCUAAACAAACCCCCCACAAGGAGGGAAUUCUUUAGCUAGAGUUUCAUAUAAGAGGGCAUAAAAGUACUGAAAACGUAUAGAGAUGAAAUUCUGUGAUACUAUAUAUGGCACUGGUAAAGGCGAAAGCAUCCCCUUAUGUAAUAACUGACGUUGAA